AUGAACGCUGGCGGCGUGCCUAAUACAUGCAAGUCGCGCGAACGGACGAGAAGCUUGCUUCUCUGAUGUUAGCGGCGGACGGGUGAGUAACACGUGGAUAACCUACCUAUAAGACUGGGAUAACUUCGGGAAACCGGAGCUAAUACCGGAUAAUAUUUUGAACCGCAUGGUUCAAAAGUGAAAGACGGUCUUGCUGUCACUUAUAGAUGGAUCCGCGCUGCAUUAGCUAGUUGGUAAGGUAACGGCUUACCAAGGCAACGAUGCAUAGCCGACCUGAGAGGGUGAUAGGCCACACUGGAACUGAGACACGGUCCAGACUCCUACGGGAGGCAGCAGUAGGGAAUCUUCCGCAAAGGGCGAAAGCCUGACGGAGCAACGCCGCGUGAGUGAUGAAGGUCUUCGGAUCGUAAAACUCUGUUAUUAGGGAAGAACAUAUGUGUAAGUAACUGUGCACAUCUUGACGGUACCCAAUCAGAAAGCCACGGCUAACUACGUG
rnacentral:rRNA from 1 species